rnacentral:rRNA from 1 species
UACGUAGGGUGCAAGCGUUGUCCGGAAUUAUUGGGCGUAAAGAGCUCGUAGGCGGUUUGUCGCGUCGAAUGUGAAAACCCGGGGCUCAACCCCGGGCCUGCAUUCGAUACGGGCAGACUAGAGUUCGGUAGGGGAGUCUGGAAUUCCUGGUGUAGCGGUGAAAUGCGCAGAUAUCAGGAGGAAUACCGAUGGCGAAGGCAGCCCCCCUGGGAUAACACUGACGCUCAUGCACGAAAGCGUGGGGAGCAAACAGG